rnacentral:lncRNA from 1 species
AGGUGACUGAUAGAGCGCUGGGUGUCUGUUAGUGUUACCUACCUUGCUCAGUCCCCAGUCUUUGUAGCACACAAAUGGGUGCAUCUGAACAUACUGCUUUGUGUUUAUUGAAUGAGAAGCAGAUUUGGGUUUGGAAAUGCAAGACUGGAAUACUAAGCGCUCGGUCUCCAGGGACAGCUGAGUAAAUCAGAUGAUUCUGCAGCAUCUUCUGAAUUUCUUUUCAGGGAUGUAUGAAUGUAGCAGCAUCAACUGGGAAGCAGUGGAACCAAGCCAUAGGCAUUACAUUCUCAUUCAAAUCUGAAAUUUGAUUAGAUAU